rnacentral:rRNA from 1 species
UACGUAGGGUGCGAGCGUUAAUCGGAAUUACUGGGCGUAAAGCGUGCGUAGACGGUUAUUUAAGUCGGAUGUGAAAGCCCCGGGCUCAACCUGGGAAUUGCAUUCGAGACUGAAUAGCUAGGGUGCGGUAGAGGGAAGCGGAAUUUCCGGUGUAGCGGUGAAAUGCGUAGAUAUCGGAAGGAACAUCAGUGGCGAAAGCGGCUUCCUGGACCAGCACCGACGUCAGGCACGAAAGCGUGGGGAGCAAACAGG